GCUGAGGUGGCGAAAUCGGCAGACGCGCAAGGUUUAGAACCUUGUGGGGGCAACCUCUUGGGAGUUCAAAUCUCCCCCUCAGCA
rnacentral:tRNA from 3 species